rnacentral:tRNA from 1 species
GUCUCGGUAGCUUAGUUGGUAAAGCACUUGUCUAGCGAAUAAGGGUCGUGAGUUCAAAUCUCACCUGGGCUG